rnacentral:rRNA from 1 species
UACGUAGGGUGCAAGCGUUGUCCGGAAUUAUUGGGCGUAAAGAGCUCGUAGGCGGUUCGUCGCGUCGGCUGUGAAAGCCCGAGGCUUAACCUCGGGUCUGCAUUCGAUACGGGCUAGCUAGAGUGUGGUAGGGGAGAUCGGAAUUCCUGGUGUAGCGGUGAAAUGCGCAGAUAUCAGGAGGAACACCGGUGGCGAAGGCGGAUCUCUGGGCCAUUACUGACGCUGAGGAGCGAAAGCGUGGGGAGCGAACAGG